rnacentral:rRNA from 1 species
GACAGAGGGGGCAAGCGUUGCUCGGAAUUACUGGGCGUAAAGGGCGCGUAGGCGGGAUGGCAAGUCGGUCGUGAAAUCCCUCGGCUCAACCGAGGAACGUCGAUCGAUACUGCUGUUCUUGAGGAUUGCAGAGGAGACUGGAAUUCCCGGUGUAGCGGUGAAAUGUGUAGAGAUCGGGAGGAACACCGGUGGCGAAGGCGGGUCUCUGGGCCGGUACUGACGCUGAGGAGCGAAAGCGUGGGGAGCAAACAGG